rnacentral:rRNA from 1 species
GAUGAACGCUGGCGGCGUGCCUAAUACAUGCAAGUAGAACGCUGAAGGAAGGAGCUUGCUCUUUCCGGAUGAGUUGCGGACGGGUGAGUAACGCGUAGGUAACCUGCCUGUUAGCGGGGGAUAACUAUUGGAAACGAUAGCUAAUACCGCAUAACAGUAUAUGUUGCAUGGUUUCUACUUAAAAGGUGCAAUUGCACUACUACCAGAUGGACCUGCGGUUGAUUAGCUAGUUGGUGAGGUAACGGCUCAACAAGGCGACCGUACAUAGCCGAACUGAGAGGGGUGUCGGGCAAAAUGGGAAGGGGAAACGGCCCAGAACCCUUAGGGAGGGAGCAGUAGGGGAACUUCGGGAAAGGACGGAAGGCUGGACGGGGAACGCCGCGGGAGGGAAGAAGGGUUUCGGAUCGGAAAGCUCCGUUGAAAGGGAAGAAAGAGAGGGAGAGUGGAAAGUUCACACUGUGACGGUAGCUUACCAGAAAGGGACGGCUAACUACGUG